AUUGAACGCUGGCGGCAGGCUUAACACAUGCAAGUCGAGCGAGCGGCGGACGGGUGAGUAAUGUCUGGGAAACUGCCCGAUGGAGGGGGAUAACUACUGGAAACGGUAGCUAAUACCGCAUACCAUCGGAUGUGCCCAGAUGUGAUUAGCUAGUAGUUGGGGUAAAGGCUCACCUAGGCGACGAUCCCUAGCUGGCCUGAGAGGAGGACCAGCAACACUGGAACUGAGACACGGUCCAGACUCCUACGGGAGGAAGCAGUGGGGAAUAUUGCACAAUGGGCGCAAGCCUGAUACAGCAAGGCCGCGGGGAUGAAGAAGGCCUUCGGGUUGUAAAGUACUUUCAGCGGGGAGGCGGUACCCGAAGAAGAAGCACCGGCUAACUCCGUGCCAGCAGCCGCGGUAAUAC
rnacentral:rRNA from 1 species